GAGUUGGGGGAGAGGACCAGAACCACCUGCUGGAGAAGGGGAGCUACGGGGGCCGGGCAGGGUCCAAACGCCUCACGUAGGCGGCGGCGCCACGGUCUUCGGGGUCACAGGGAAGAGAAGGGCUCUCCUCAAGCGGGUGGAAGGAGGGAGGCCUCCCGAGGGAGUGAGACUCUAGGCCACUCCCCCGCAGCAAGGCAGGAUCACCUGCGACGCGGAGAGCGGUUAGAGGGCCCUGGAGUGGAAAAGGGCAGUGGGACCUGGUAGCUUGGGUUCCCUGCAACUUGGGGUUCGACCUCCAGGCAAUGAAGUAGGGAUGGUCCUGCAAGUCAAGAUUCCAGUAGCAAGAGUGCAUCAGAUCUCUGUAAGGAAAAUAACUAACAUUGCUCAGUUCCCUGUAGAGUUGCAGGGCGCUUUAACGUUAUCUCCCUUGGUUCUCCAUCAGGUCGUAGUGGACUAAUUUUACAGGCGAAGUUAAGUGACUUACCCAAAACCUCACAGCUAAUAAACGGCAGAGCCGGCACCCAGCUGUACUGGCUUCCAAUUCUGUUAGCUUACCAGCGCAUCACAUUAUCUCCAUAAAUCCCCAUGAUUCAACUAAUAUUAGACGCCCCACAGGUAAGAUGCUUCAGAGUUAGAGGGGAGUUGAAGAUACCUUUGCCUUCAAAGAAGUAAGGAAUAAAACAAAGAUAAAACAGACAAUAAAAGACAAACCAUGAUAGGUGCCACGUGAAAAGUGGCAGAGUACUGCCGGGAAUCAAAGAACCGUGUAUAUCUGUCUUGGGGAUAAGGAAAGAAAGGCAGCAUGAAGGAGUAGGCAUUUGGGAUUGACCUUGAAGGAGACAGGGAGAGUUUUACAGCAAGCAGGGAUAGCAUGAGAAUAUAUAUGAAGGCGAAUCAGUGAAAGUUGUGUUGGGGAAAGAGCAAAGACUCCAGGGUAUGUUGAGAGGUAGAAAAGACAAAGGAGUAUGGGGCCUAAGAUACCAAAUGGAUGAAUUUAUAUUUAAUUCAGUAUUUUGAGUUUUUAUGGUUCAGAAGUUUGGGGGAAGAAAAGGAAGGUUUUUUUUUUUCUUUGUGCUAGUGAUUUAUCUGUGAGGGGAAGCAGAAAUCAGAGGUGGAAAAACGGACAGAUCUACUGUAGGCCAGGUAAAAAUGAUGAGUCUGACCUAAAGGGACAGCUAGGGGAAUUUAAAAGAGCAUAGUUGAGAGAUGAUGUGCAUGCAGUAUCUAUAGAAUUUGGCAACUGAUUGAUUAAUUGUGGGUAGGAAGAGAGAAAUCAAAGAAAGUGGAGGUUUUGAGUUUGUAGAUAAUUGCAAGAGAGAAAAGAGACAAUUACAAAGGAGAGGGAGCUACUUCUUGAGAGAUCAGUUUAGAUUUGGACAUUUUAAGAAUUCAAAGGGUUGUCAAGACAGCCAGAGAGACAUGGACACUAAUAAGUUAGAAAUAAAGGUUUUGUAAUAUGGGAAAGAGGACUGAACUAGAAAAUAGACUCAUAAAUAAUCAGCCUAGGAGUGAUAUUGCUGUGAGAUAAAAGAAGAAAACAAAGGUCAGAAUCUUGGAAAACACCCUCUUUAGAGUCUCGCUACUCAAAACGUGGUCAGUGGCCCAGCAGCACUGACAUGAGGAUGUUAGUUAGAAACUCAGAAUCUCAGGCUCCACCCCAGACCUGCUGAACCAGCAUCUUCAACUUAACAAGAACCCGAAGAGAUUUGUGUCACAUCAAAAAGUUUGAGAAGCUCUGAUCUAGGUGAGCCAAGCCAGCAAAGAAAGGGGAUGGAGCAGAAAAUGGGAGGAGAAUAGGGUAACGCAGAAUCAUCAAGACAAGGUAAAUUGGAGUUUCACAAAAACAGGGCUGGAAGGAGUGUUGCUCAACAAUAUCCAAAACCACAGAGGUUGAAAAGCACAAGGAAAGAAGGUAUGUUUGCACUUUGUGAUUAGGUAGUAGGGUCUUUGAGACCACAUUGUUCUUAUUGAAAGCCUGGGAAGAAAGAUCCCCUUUCUGGUCAAGUUUAGUCUAGGGAUCCAUCCCAUCUUCCCCAGUUCCCACGUGUAUGGGACAUGUCGAGAUAAGUAGAUAGAUUGGACAGUGGGAGAAAGUAGUUCUCUUCCAGUUGCUUCUAUUUUCUCAGCAAAGUGAGGAGCAAGAUCAUUUUGGCAGACUGCUAAUUGUCCAUCACAAUUUAGUCUCCCUUUCUCCCUGAAAACACAGACUGCUUUUCUCAGCCUCUCUUUCAGUUGCAUAUGGUCAAGUAUUAAGUUAUAGAACGUGAGCAGAUGUUAUGUCUGCCACUGUCAGGCCAAGGCGUUUACUUUGAGAGUACUUGUGCCUCUUUCAUGCAUUUUCCUUUCUGCCAGCUGGACCCUGGACACGGUGACUCUGAUUCAAUUAUGCAGAUGACCACAAACCUCUGGGGUUGGCAGAGCCACAAGAAAGAAGGUGCCUGGAUGAAGGAGAGCUACCCACUGACCUGGACACCCAAUUAUGUCAUAGGUGCUGUGAUCUAGAGACAAAAUGUUCCUUACACUGGCAGAUACUUGCAAACUAAGGGGAAUGAGCUUCCUUCUGAAUGUUUAUGAAGGAGAGGCCACUGUGUCAUCUGUCUUAGAGCUAUUGGAAUCCUGGAUCAUUGUGGGAAAUGAAAGGAACUGGUUUUUAGCAAGGAGACCAAGAAACUCUACUCCCUAGGGGCUAGCAAUGAGAGAAAGGAAGCCUUAAGUCUUUGAGCACAGGGUGACAGUUUGGGUCCUAUGUGAGAUGAUCAAAUCCACAGCAACAGAGGAAAGGACAAAAGGAAAAGAUACUUCGAUGGAAUCAGCAGCCAUUGAUCCAAUGCCAACUCCAAGACUGGAACGUCGCAAUGAUAGUUCCAAGGCGGAAAUUUGACGUAAUUCUUUUCGACACAGUUUUACAGGCAUCUUGCAUGUGAAUAACUCACAACUUUAAUUCAUGGAACAAAUUGAGAAAUAGUCUUUUGGGGGUUUGGUACUCCCUGGAAACAUAAGAGUGCUUUGGGCACCUCUGGUGCCUUUCCAUGCCUGCCUUCUCUGCUGUUCUUGCUACUAGUGAAUUCUAAAUCAUGGCCAAGUGAUGCCAGCACUGGAUAAUAUUGGCUCUGCCCCAUAUCUCGAGGGAAAACUCUAGGACUUGGCAUUAUAUGUGUGGGAAUCUGGCCUUGGUUGGCACUCCCAGCAUGAUAGCGGGGUUCUCCUGUCUGAAUGUACUCUGGGGUGUGCGCCACAAUUUCUGUCAUCGAAAUGGAGAUGAGAGAAUAUGCCCUUGGUGGGGACACCCCACUGGAAUUAGAGUGAAGAGAUCAAAGCUAGAGGUUCUUAAAUCAAAGAAUAUCUAAUAGCAAAGACAAAAACUUGCUUAAGGGAAAUGCAUACAAGUACUAGACCUAAUAUGAUGAAAAAUGCCAACUUCAAUAUAUUGAUGCAUGCUUAGUACACUUUCAGUCCUGCAAAGACAAAGUUUUUUGUUGUUUUUUUUUUGAGACGGAGUCUCGCUCUGUCGCCCAGGUUGGAGUGC
rnacentral:lncRNA from 1 species